ACAUUUGAUCUUCCGCUUCUGAGUUCGCGCCUAAAGCUGAACGCUGCAGCCUGUUGUUCCUUCAGGUUUUCUUGACCAGUUCCUCGUCGCAUUUCAUAUAAAGAGCAUGAUUUAUAGAUGUUUUAUGGCGUGUUUGUUUUUAAGAAGCGUUAUUUUGGACUAUAUCCGCAUGAGCGCAUCUGCAGUGAUUGUGAUUAUUGUUGAGAUGGCAGUGUUUGCUGCUCCUACUGUGAUUCUUCUUCAGAUCAUCUGUGCAAGAAGAGCUGGGAGGAAGGACUCGCAGCACCCAGAGGAAAUAGAGAUGCCUACAAUAUUACAAUAAAAUACUGCUGAGUUUGGAGACAAUCUGAAACAAGAUUUAAGUCAAGUGAAGUCACCUCAAAGCAGCUUUACAGCAGUAACAGGAAAAAUAAUGCUUUGUUUGUCAAAUAUGUCAUUGUUCAGCUUAAGUCAGUUAUUUUGAUUAAAAUAGCAAAGACUUACAGAGGACUGUUCACUGUUUUAUUUAUUUCUUCUUCUCAGAAAACAGAAAAAAUCAUCUGAGCACCCUGAAGAAAUAGUGAUACCAUCAAGUUUAGAUUCAAAUAUUUUUGCAAAUAACAGGCAAGAUAUUUGCGUUUAGUGUUGAAUGUCAUUUUCUUGUGGUUCGUUUAUAAACUGCUUUGAAUACAAUAUUAAAUACAGCAAUAGACAGA